AUUGAACGCUGGCGGCAUGCUUUACACAUGCAAGUCGAACGGUAACAGGCCGCAAGGUGCUGACGAGUGGCGAACGGGUGAGUAAUGUAUCGGAACGUGCCCAGUCGUGGGGGAUAACGCAGCGAAAGCUGCGCUAAUACCGCAUACGAUCUAUGGAUGAAAGCGGGGGACCGUAAGGCCUCGCGCGAUUGGAGCGGCCGAUAUCAGAUUAGGUAGUUGGUGGGGUAAAGGCUCACCAAGCCAACGAUCUGUAGCUGGUCUGAGAGGACGACCAGCCACACUGGGACUGAGACACGGCCCAGACUCCUACGGGAGGCAGCAGUGGGGAAUUUUGGACAAUGGGCGCAAGCCUGAUCCAGCAAUGCCGCGUGCAGGAAGAAGGCCUUCGGGUUGUAAACUGCUUUUGUACGGAACGAAACGGUCCUGGUUAAUACCUGGGGCUAAUGACGGUACCGUAAGAAUAAGCACCGGCUAACUAC
rnacentral:rRNA from 1 species